UAACCACUCAAGCCUAGCUUGGUAUUGGGGUUCGCGUGCUCGCGGCCCUUAAAAUCAGUGGCGGUGCCGUCUGGCUCUAAGCGUAGUAAUUCUCUCGCUAUAGAGUCCCGGCGGUUACCUGCCAGAACCCCCCACUUUUAA
rnacentral:misc_RNA from 1 species